UAAAUAUAAAAAAUAAAUUCUCCUUUUACAUAUAUAAUCAUUUCUUAAUAUCAACCAAAUUUUUGCUAGAUUUUUUAUUCCUUUUUAUAUUUUUCGAAAUACACGUGAUAAAUAUCUUUAAUUAAUAAAUACGUAAAAAAUAAAAGCAUAAAUAUUAAUUUCUCAUUUAUUCAAUUGUUUCGUCUUUCUUUACUAGCUUAAACCGUAAAGUGUUUAUUAUUCAAAUAUUUGAAAAUGAAGCAAACAAUGCAAUUAUUUCGCUUGUAUCGGUUAAACGUUAAAACCAAGAGGCAUCGAACGUUGAGCUCUCCAUCCGCAAAUCGGAAACAAAGAAACGGGAAAAAUAGAAUUACUUUGAACUAUAAAAUAGUGUUUCGAAUUAAUGAUAGUAAUUACUUUGUAGACUUUUAUUUCGUUUAAAAGAAAGUUUACAUAUAAAUAAUUUAAUAAUUUUCAAUAGCAUAUACGUAUAAAUACGUACUCGGAAUAUAAAGGAUCCAAAGGAUAACGAUGAAAGGUUUGAAGUGUUUAUUGAACAAAAAAAAAAAAAAAUGACGCCAGAUGACUUGCGUUGUCAUUAAAAUGAAAUAACAUUUAUUGAAUCGAGACAGUGACACCUAACAGUGGUUUUCUAUAUCCUACUACUUACAAUCUUAAAGAUAAUAAGAAAACUGCGUGACCACUUCCGCGUCACCGCCCUCGGAUCUGUCUGAAGAUUCACAGGAUCGUUCGCAAUGUGAAUCAAAGACAUUCAUCUUCAUCUUCCAAUAACAUCACUGAAAUGGAACUUGCACCUAUCUUUAAACAUGCAAUUUAUCAA